GAUGAACGCUGGCGGCGUGCCUAAUACAUGCUAGUCGAGCGAACGGACGAGAAGCUUGCUUCUCUGAUGUUAGCGGCGGACGGGUGAGUAACACGUGGAUAACCUAAAUAUAAGACUGGGAUAACUUCGGGAAACCGGAGCUAAUACCGGAUAAUAUUUUGAACCGCAUGGUUCAAAAGUGAAAGACGGUCUUGCUGUCACUUAUAGAUGGAUCCGCGCUGCAUUAGUUAGUUGGUAACGUAACGGCUUACCAAGGCAACGAUUCAUAGCCGACCCGAGAGGGUGCACGGCCACACAAGAUCUAAGACCCGUUCCCCACUCCUACGGGAGGCACCAGUAGGGAACCUACCGCCAUGCGCGAAUGCCUGACGGAGCAACGCCGCGUGAGUGAUGAACCUCUUCGGAUCGUAAAACUCUGUUAUUCGGGAAGAUCAUAUGUGUAAGUAACUGUGAACAUCUUGACGCUACCUAAUCAGAAAGCCACGGCUAACUACGUG
rnacentral:rRNA from 1 species